rnacentral:lncRNA from 1 species
GGGAGGGGCGCGCAGGCGCGGACCGCCUGGCGGUACUUUGAAGAAAGACUUCUCGACGCCGAGACACUGCUGGUGGUACUCGAUGUAGAUCACGUGGAUGGCAGGAGCAGUGGCAAAGGACUUUCAACUGACAGACAAGCAUGAGAUGGUGGUCAGCUACCUCCCACUCAGCCAUAUUGCAGCACAGAUGAUGGACAUCUGGGUACCCAUAAAGAUUGGGGCGCUCACAUACUUUGCUCAAGCAGAUGCUCUCAAGGACUUUGCACCUUGCAGCCCAGAUUUAGCUAACCUUUUACUCGGAGUCAGGCAAUAAAAAUCCUUCAUGAAGUUGGCUGGAACCUGGACAAGUGCAGAGCCCUCUACCCAUACCUAGCACGGGGUGACUGGCAACCAUGCCGUGAAGACACUCAAGCAAUUCUGUGGAGAAGGCCAUGGAAUGAGGAGCUGAGACUUCCUGCCAACAACCAGUCAUCUAGGUCAGAAAUUCAGACAGGGCACAUCUGGGACAGCUUGAAGUCAUGAUGUGCUGGAGCUGGCAUGUAUCAACCGCAUGAGUCAGAGCCAAUUGCAUGCAUCUCUUCUCAGCUUCACAUUCAGUGGUAUCACAUCUGUACCUUGAAAUCAGCCACAGUGGGAGUAUUUACACCACAGGAAUUGGCAAACACUGCAAAUCAGCGCCCCAUGCCACUCAAGAGCCAGUUAUUAAAUAUUUAUCAGAACAUAACUGCUUUAAAGAAUUAUUUAAAAUUCUCAACAAUAUAAAGGGACAUUUUAUUAUUAAAUCCUUAGGGAUGGUCCCACCAAAAUCCCAUAUACAGUAAUAUUAGCAGACUCCAAAUGUACUUAGAUUUGCUAAAAUUCUCAAAUGCAUUUUUUUUUUAGAGACAGAAUCUCACUCCAUUGCCCAGGCCCAGUGGUGUGAUCAUAGCUCAGUGUAGCCUUGAAUUCCUGGGCUCAAGCAAUCCUCCCACCUCAGCCUCCUGAGUAGCUAGAACUACAGGUGUGCACCACCAUGCGGGGCUUAUUAUUUUAUUUUUUUGUAGAGGUAGAGUUGUCCAGCCUGGUCUGGAACUCCUGGCCUCAAGUGAGCCUCCUGCCUCAGCCUCCAAAGUGUUGAGAUUGCAGCCAUGAACCAUGACAGCCAGCCUCAAAUGCUUUUCCAAUAACACACAGACACAAGCCCUGAAAUUUAUAUCAUUGAGUUACUGAAUACAUAUAUGUGCCUGGAUUUCCCUAGCAAAAAUUGGGAAGAAAACAUUUACUUUCCUUUUCCAGGCAGGGUGAGUUAAAUGGUAUGUCUGCAGCUGCGUUGCCAGGGGUCCGUGGCUUUUCAAAAGUGGGUGUCCCUACUGGCAAAAGUGGAUACGGGGGUCUGCAUGUUCCGUGGCAGCUUCCAGGAAGAAUGAGAAGUGGAUAAGAGUGGAUGGUGCAGGUCUAGAAGCAAGAAAGGUCUGAACUAAAUUGGUUGUCACUUGCUGUAUAAGUGAGCCAAAGACAGUGUCUUUCUAUCAGCCCUAUCUCAUUUAUUUCUUUACAGCAGGCAGGCAGGGACCUCUCAGCUCAAAGCCCACCAGCACCAAGCUCAAAUUCUCACACAAUCCAUUGCUAUAAAUAUUGCACAAAUAAGCAUAUGUUUAGUCAUUUAGAGCCCACCUGCUUUGCAUACCCCAUAAAAUUGCACCCAACAACACCUAUUAAUCACAGAGAAGAAAAAUCUUACAGCCAUAAGAAACCCCAAAUUAUUGUUGCCUUUCAGAGUUCUAUGAUGCAGACUCUCCCCACCUUGCUACUCAAUGACAUCACCUAGACACUUAAGCCCUGCCUCUAACUCUCCUCUGUCCCAGGAGUUCCUCUGGAAGGAGUCCUGCUGGAAGGGACAUUCCCCGCAUGCAAACCUAUCUAAGUGCCGUGCAGUAAAGCUUGUUAUGCAAUACUGCCAUCUUAUGGUCCUGUUUUGUUUUGUUUUUUUUGAGCUGCCCCAUCAGGAAUCAAUGAUGUCAUAAGUCAUGGCUCCUGAAAUUGCAAUUUUCUUGUGUGUGUGUGUGUGUGUGUGUAAGCAAAAUUAGGCCAGGCAUGGUGGCUCAC